GAUGAACGCUGGCGGCGUGCCUAAUACAUGCAAGUCGAACGAUGAAGCCGGAGCUUGCUCUGGUGAAUUAGUGGCGAACGGGUGAGUAACACGUGAGUAACCUGCCCUUGACUCUGGGAUAACUGCUAGAAAUGGUAGCUAAUACCGGAUACGACCCUCGGAGGCAUCUCCAGGGGGUGGAAAGAAUUUCGGUCAAGGAUGGACUCGCGGCCUAUCAGCUAGUUGGUGAGGUAACGGCUCACCAAGGCGACGACGGGUAGCCGGCCUGAGAGGGUGACCGGCCACACUGGGACUGAGACACGGCCCAGACUCCUACGGGAGGAAGCAGUGGGGAAUAUUGCACAAUGGGCGCAAGCCUGAUGCAGCAACGCCGCGUGAGGGAUGACGGCCUUCGGGUUGUAAACCUCUUUUAGCAGGGAAGAAGCGAAAGUGACGGUACCUGCAGAAAAAGCACCGGCUAACUACGUGCCAGCAGCCGCGGUAA
rnacentral:rRNA from 1 species